AGGAUCAUUAAUGAAUUUUAGGACUCUCUUUUUAGAGGUCCGACCCCUUCAUUUCCAUACACUGUGCACACACUUCUUUUCACACAUUUUAACACUAUAGUAUAAGAAUGUAACAGUCUCUUUAUUGAGCAUAAAUAAAAAUAAAACUUUCAGCAACGGAUCUCUUGGCUCUCGCAUCGAUGAAGAACGCAGCGAAUUGCGAUAAGUAAUGUGAAUUGCAGAAUUCAGUGAAUCAUCGAAUCUUUGAACGCACCUUGCACUCUUUGGUAUUCCGAAGAGUAUGUCUGUUUGAGUGUCAUGAAACUCUCAACCCCCCUAUUUUGUAAUGAGAUGGGCGUGGGCUUGGAUUAUGACUGUUGUCGGCGUAAUUGCCGGCUCAGUUGAAAUACACGAGCAACCCAUUUGAAAUAAACGGUUUGACUUGGCGUAAUAAUUAUUUCGCUAAGGACGUUUUCUUCAAAAGUAAGAGGUGCUUCUAAUGCGCUAUUACAGCACUUUAAAUUUUAGACCUCAAAUCAGUCAGGACUACCCGCUGAACUUAAGCAUAUCA
rnacentral:sRNA from 2 species